rnacentral:misc_RNA from 1 species
GAUGAAGAACGUAGCGAAAUGCGAUACGUAAUGUGAAUUGCAAAUUCAGUGAAUCAUCGAAUCUUUGAACGCACAUUGCGCCCCUUGGUAUUCCGGGGGGCAUGCCUGUUCGAGCGUCAUUAUCACCCCUCAAGCUCAGCUUGGUGUUGGGGCCUGCCCGUCACAGGGCAGCCCUUAAAAGCAGUGGCGGUGCCAUCUGGCUCUACGCGUAGUAAUACUUCUCGCGACAGAGUCCCGGUGGUGUCCUGCCAGAACCCCCCAUAUUUUUAAUGAUUGACCUCGGAUCAGGUAGGGAUACCCGCUGAACUUAAGCAUAUCAAUAAGCGGAGGA